rnacentral:rRNA from 1 species
GUCGAACGAGCGAGAGAGAGCUUGCUUUCUCAAGCGAGUGGCGAACGGUUGAGUAACGCGUGUGGAACCUGCCUCAAAGAGGGGGACAACAGUUGGAAACGACUGCUAAUACCGCAUAAGCCCACGACCCGGCAUCGGGUAGAGGGAAAAGGAGCAAUCCGCUUUGAGAUGGCCUCGCGUCCGAUUAGCUAGUUGGUGAGGUAAUGGCCCACCAAGGCGACGAUCGGUAGCCGGACUGAGAGGUUGAACGGCCACAUUGGGACUGAGACACGGCCCAGACUCCUACGGGAGGCAGCAGUGGGGAAUAUUGCACAAUGGGGGAAACCCUGAUGCAGCGACGCCGCGUGGAGGAAGAAGGUCUUCGGAUUGUAAACUCCUGUUGUUGAGGAAGAUAAUGACGGUACUCAACAAGGAAGUGGCGGCUAACUACGUGCCAGCAGCCGCGGUAAAACGUAGGUCACAAGCGUUGUCCGGAAUUACUGGGUGUAAAGGGAGCGCAGGCGGGAAGACAAGUUGGAAGUGAAAUCCAUGGGCUCAACCCAUGAACUGCUUUCAAAACUGUUUUUCUUGAGUAGUGCAGAGGUAGGCGGAAUUCCCGGUGUAGCGGUGGAAUGCGUAGAUAUCGGGAGGAACACCAGUGGCGAAGGCGGCCUACUGGGCACCAACUGACGCUGAGGCUCGAAAGUGUGGGUAGCAAUCAGGAUUAGAUACCCUGGUAGUCCACACUGUAAACGAUGAUUACUAGGUGUUGGAGGAUUGACCCCUUCAGUGCCGCAGUUAACACAAUAAGUAAUCCACCUGGGGAGUACGACCGCAAGGUUGAAACUCAAAGGAAUUGACGGGGGCCCGCACAAGCAGUGGAGUAUG